rnacentral:rRNA from 10 species
CAUACCUGAAUGUUCCUGAUCUCAUCUGAUCUCCCAAGCUAAGCAGGGUCAGGCUUGGUUAGUAUUUGGAUGGGAGAUUAAUCAUCACAUCAGU